rnacentral:rRNA from 1 species
GGCGAGUGAAGCGGCAAAAGCUCAAAUUUGAAAUCUGGUACCUUCGGUGCCCGAGUUGUAAUUUGGAGAGGGCAACUUUGGGGCCGUUCCUUGUCUAUGUUCCUUGGAACAGGACGUCAUAGAGGGUGAGAAUCCCGUGUGGCGAGGAGUGCGGUUCUUUGUAAAGUGCCUUCGAAGAGUCGAGUUGUUUGGGAAUGCAGCUCUAAGUGGGUGGUAAAUUCCAUCUAAAGCUAAAUAUUGGCGAGAGACCGAUAGCGAACAAGUACAGUGAUGGAAAGAUGAAAAGAACUUUGAAAAGAGAGUGAAAAAGUACGUGAAAUUGUUGAAAGGGAAGGGCAUUUGAUCAGACAUGGUGUUUUGUGCCCUCUGCUCCUUGUGGGUAGGGGAAUCUCGCAUUUCACUGGGCCAGCAUCAGUUUUGGUGGCAGGAUAAAUCCAUAGGAAUGUAGCUUGCCUCGGUAAGUAUUAUAGCCUGUGGGAAUACUGCCAGCUGGGACUGAGGACUGCGACGUAAGUCAAGGAUGCUGGCAUAAUGGUUAUAUGCCGCCCGUCUUGNAAACACGGACCAA